UUUUAGAUUCUUCAUUUCCCCACAAACGAUUUCGUACGUUUUAAAAGUAUCGGUAUUUAUGUGUUUUUGUUUUUGUUUUUUUUUUGUUCGUAAAACUUGGUCGACUGCACGCGUGUGACCAGAUGAUGAUGCAUCUGCAGCCGUCGUCCGGACGACAAAUAAUACUCUACAGUUCUGCAACCGUAAUAAUAUCGUCCUCAUCGUCUGCAGUCACCGCGUUGAUCUAUACAUGAGCGGGCGGGAUCGAACCACCCGUAAAGUGAUUUAUCGGAUACCGUCGUCGCGACACACAUCUGCGGCGAAAUCGUACACCGGAAAAUGGCGAUCGAUACGACGUCACGUGCGAGUUGACUUGCAGCCUAUAUAAUAUUGCGGUGCAACUGUUUCGAAAUAAAACAAUGCACCUAACACUGCUGCUGCAGGUACCACGCGCGUUCAGCUACAGCCGGAUAACUGCAACGACGAUACUGUUAUAAUAUAUUAUAUAGAUAAUGGCAGCUUCGAAUAGUGUUAUCAAAUUCCUGCCGAUGAUGUCUGUACCAUUAUUUAGGUAUUUUAAUAAUAUAAUAUGUGCCCCGACUCCCGAUCGACAACCAAUGGACGACCUGCAGGAUAUUAUAUAAGCAGUGUUAUUAACUACAGUUUAUUAUUUUUAUGUAUAAUAUAUUUUAUGAUAUUCUGUUAAAUCCGGACGAAUAAAAAAUCCAAUAAAACUCGAUUAGACGACUUAUAGCCUAUAAUAACGAUAUUAUUUCGUUGGUAGAUUUAAUUGAGGUGCAUGUGCAUAUCGUAU